UAAACACAGCCACGUCCAUUCAGAUCUCCUU
rnacentral:piRNA from 1 species